rnacentral:rRNA from 1 species
UCCAGACUCCUACGGGAGGCAGCAGUGGGGAAUAUUGCACAAUGGGGGAAACCCUGAUGCAGCGACGCCGCGUGAGCGAAGAAGUAUUUCGGUAUGUAAAGCUCUAUCAGCAGGGAAGAAAAAAUGACGGUACCUGACUAAGAAGCCCCGGCUAACUACGUGCCAGCAGCCGCGGUAAUACGUAGGGGGCAAGCGUUAUCCGGAUUCACUGGGUGUAAAGGGAGCGUAGACGGCGACGCAAGUCUGGAGUGAAAGCCCGGGGCCCAACCCCGGGACUGCUCUGGAAACUGCGUCGCUGGAGUACGGGAGGGGCAGGCGGAAUUCCUGGUGUAGCGGUGAAAUGCGUAGAUAUCAGGAGGAACACCGGCGGCGAAGGCGGCCUGCUGGACCGUGACUGACGUUGAGGCUCGAGAGCGUGGGGAGCAAACAGGAUUAGAUACCCCGGUA